CUAGAGAUGGGUUUCACCAUGGUGAUCAGGAUGGUCUCGAACUCCUGACCUCAAGUGAUCCACCCACCUUGGCCUCCCAAAGUGCUGGGAUUACAGGCGUAAGCCACUGUGCCCAGUCCCUAUUUUCCUUUUUCUACCUGUCUGCCCUCAGGUAGACACAAACCUCAUGCCCUCACCACCUUCAAGCCUCUACUCCAGUCUACUCCAGUACCCCUUCCCUGACCCCCGGGUCCCUCUUUUUUGUUUUCUCACUCUCUGUAGCACCUUCUACCACCAUCCACCCUCCUCCGUGUUUUAUUUAUUUUGUUGAUUUCUCCUUCAUUGAAAUGUCAGCUCCAGGCGGGCACGCAUCUUUGUUGUGUUCUCUGCUGACUAUAUCCUCAGCACCUAGAACUGUGUCUGUCACCUAAUAGAUGCUCAGUAAGUAUCUGGAAUGAAUGGAUUAUUUGUGUUUGCCAACAUACACAGGUCUACCAAAGUUGUUUUCUCAUGUACCUGUGCAUUUCAUGCUUCUAAUAGGUAUAAGGGAAGUCUGGUUAUAUCUUUUCUUCCUGGGACUGCUAUAACAAAUUAUCACAGACUACAGGGCUUAACACAGCAGAUUCAUUUCAAAGUUCUGGUGGCCAGAAGUUGUAAAUCUAGCAGGGCUGCCCUCCCUCCAGGCACACUAGGGAAGAUGUGUGUCUUGUCUCUUCCACCUUCUAGUAGCUCUGGCGUUCCUUGGCUUGUGGCCGCAUCACUCCGGUCUCUGCCUCCGUCUUCUUACCUUCCUCUUCUCUCUGUCCUGGUCUCUGCUUCUCUCUUUUAAGGA
rnacentral:lncRNA from 1 species